UAUGUAGGGUGCGAGCGUUGUCCGGAAUUAUUGGGCGUAAAGAGCUCGUAGGCGGUCUGUCGCGUCGGAUGUGAAAACCCAGGGCUUAACCCUGGGCCUGCAUUCGAUACGGGCAGACUAGAGUUCGGUAGGGGAGACUGGAAUUCCUGGUGUAGCGGUGAAAUGCGCAGAUAUCAGGAGGAACACCGGUGGCGAAGGCGGGUCUCUAGGCCGACACUGACGCUGAGGAGCGAAAGCGUGGGGAGCGAACAGG
rnacentral:rRNA from 1 species